CCAAAUCCCUGAAGGUAGGGAUGGACUUCAAUUUACGUAGUUGUUCAAUCAACCAAAAAGAUAUCCUCUUUGUUUUUUUUUGUUUUUUUUUUAUUUCAGCUGAAGGAAAUUAUUAUCUACUCAUUGUUUAAUACACUGUAACGAAUUGCUGUAAAAAUUACAGCAUUAUUUUACAGCAGCGGGCUGUUUUUCUAAUAAUACAGAAAAUUUCUGUAAACUGCAGUGCAUUGUGGGGCCGCGUGGCGGUUUAACCCAAUAUACAGAGUAUUGCUGUAAAUUUCAAAUUUUCAGAAUGCAUUGUGGGAUCUUCAACGGUCGAGAUUCGUGAAGCGCCAAGGAGUGAUUCACAGCUGAGGUAAGUUACUCAUGUAUUAGUUUUUAAUAUUUGGUAAGUGCAGUAGUAUAUGAAAGUAUCCAACAGUUAUAUUAGUGGUUCAUUUUGGAAACGCCCAUGUUGUCGCAUCCGUUCCCCGUUCGCGGGGGCGAAUGAUACGUACGCGGGUUUUGAAAAGCACAGUCGCGGUAGUAUUUCACACAUACCACGACGCUAAAUAUAGCUGCUACGGACGAAAACUGGCUUUCUACUUUAAGUUACAUUCCGUGUCAAAAAUUAGGAUUUACAGGAACUCCUUCGUCGGCGGGACGCGAAUGAGACGCGGGGUUUUAGUCGCGCGGUCGUUGUAGUAUUUCACACAUAUACCGCCUUAACUGGGUUCCUACGUUAAGAAUUACAUGCUUCAGUGAGAAAGUUGAGGAACAAAGUCGUCCGCGGGACACGAAUGAGACGUGCAAUGGGCUUCAUCUGCAUCGCGGUUUUGUGGGGUGAGCAAUUGGACAGGCAGGUGGAGAGGAGACACUAGAUGCAUUCAUCCCAGCUUCCUGUCUGACUUUGGCACUCUGUUCACAGCAUAUCAUCUUCAUUCAAAGCGCUCUGUAUCUGGAGAGAGGAACAAAGAAGUCAGGAGGAAAAGUAAACAUCAGGCCCAAUGGUACAGAAGAAACAGGUUGCAGUGAACCUACAUGUUGCUACUCUUCUUUGCAAAGUGAUGAAUUUGCAGUGGAGUUUCUACAAUCCGCCUUUCGCAACCUGUGAUGGAACACAGUCUGGAGCCGAAUUGUUCUCCUUGACCAGAAGUUUAUUGGAAUCGCUUGGGAUCAUUUUGGACAUACUGGACUGUUCCUGCAGUGGUGACAAUUAAUCUGUUUUUUAUGUAACAAUUAUACAACUUCAUUUCAUUUCGUCAUCCACGAAAAUUAUUUGUGAGUCCUAUUGGAUUUGAUUCCUAUCAACAGUGAAGGUAAAGACCCAUUGUUCCACACUCUUUUAUAGCAUUAUCAAGCUAUGCCAUUGUUGUUGUCAUCGUUGUUUAGUAACCUCUAGCUAAAUAUAUUUAAUAUUGUGCCUUUAAAGUUAUGCAGUUUUUUAGAUAUUCCUCUUUCUGUGUGAAGGGCAACACAAUGUACAUGUUUCAAUUACUUUAA